CUUUAUGGCGGGCGGUGCGCGGGGGUCGCAAGGCCCACCGGUCCUCAGGCCGGCACGCCAACCGCGUACCGUCCGCCACCCGG
rnacentral:antisense_RNA from 1 species